rnacentral:sRNA from 1 species
UUGCUUAUUUUCGAAAAAAUACAGGCCA